CAGCAGCCGCCGCGGUAAUACGGAGGGGGCUAGCGUUGUUCGGAAUUACUGGGCGUAAAGCGCACGUAGGCGGCUUGGUAAGUUAGAGGUGAAAGCCUGGAGCUCAACUCCAGAAUUGCCUUUAAGACUGCCGAGCUAGCAGGUGAGAGAGGUAAGUGGAAUUCCGAGUGUAGAGGUGAAAUUCGUAGAUAUUCGGAAGAACACCAGUGGCGAAGGCGGCUUACUGGCUCAUACUGAACGCUGAGGUGCGAAAGCGUGGGGAGCAAACAGGAUUAGAGACCCCCGUAGUCCCUGUCUCUUAUAA
rnacentral:rRNA from 1 species